rnacentral:rRNA from 1 species
UAGUGGCGAACGGGUGAGUAACGCGUGAGGAACCUGCCUUUCAGAGGGGGACAACAGUUGGAAACGACUGCUAAUACCGCAUAAUGUACACGGACCGCAUGAUCUGUGUACCAAAGAUUUAUCGCUGAAAGAUGGCCUCGCGUCUGAUUAGAUAGUUGGUGAGGUAACGGCCCACCAAGUCUGCGAUCAGUAGCCGGACUGAGAGGUUGAACGGCCACAUUGGGACUGAGAUACGGCCCAGACUCC